UACGGAGGGGGCGAGCGUUAUUCGGAAUUAUUGGGCGUAAAGGGCGCGUAGGCGGCUUGACAAGUCAAAGGUGAAAUCCCUCGGCUCAACUGAGGAACUGCCUUUGAAACUGUCUGGCUAGAGGUUUGGAGGGGGGACUGGAAUUCUCGGUGUAGCAGUGAAAUGCGUAGAUAUCAAGUGGAACACCAGUGGCGAAGGCGAAUCCCUGGAAAAUACCUGACACUGAGGCACGAAAGCAGGGGAGCAA
rnacentral:rRNA from 1 species